UUUUCAGGCUUUACAAAGCAACAAAGCAGCGAUCUCACUUCAGUCUCUUUGCAUUUAGCCCUUAUUUAUCAAAAGUCUUACUAUAAAAAUACAACAAAACAUUUUCUUACGACCUUACGUGAAUUAUUGAGACAAAAAUGCAUUAUGAAGAAGAAAAGCACCUGCUAUUAGUAGCAUUGGUGCUAACGUUAGCAUCAAGCUACAUCUGACAAUUUAUGAAAUUAUUAGUACACUUUUACUCAAAACUCACUUUAAACCCCGAUCGAGUGUUUAUAAUAACUUCCUUUAGCGAUCAGGGGUGGAAUUUGGUCGUUUACUGUUGUAAAAAUAUGUUAUUUGUAGCCUUUUUCAUCGCUGCACAAGUUAGCAUUUCCGAUGUACAUUUUCGAUUUUUUUUAUAAAAACGCCCCAGAUCUCAAGAAAUUCUCAUACCAAGCUUUACUAUCGUAAUCGCGGGUUUAUUAUUCGGAUAUUUUGUGUGUACAGAGGUGUUUCAGUGUUGUUUUGGCCAGAUAACUACCAGGAAGUGUGCAGGAAGCAUGUGACACGAUGGGGCAGUGUCCAGAUAUGAAACUCUAAGAUUGAUGUUUGAAAGACCCAAUCAGAGUCUGAGUCACACACCGCACGAGCUGUGACUACUGCACGCACACAGAGAUCGCUGGGAGAGGCUGUUUAUCAUCUGAUCGCGUAAAUCCGUGGAAAAUCUCCGCAGAUAUGCAUCUUUGGUCUGUAAAUCCUUAUUGACGCUGUUCAGUGAGUCUAUGUGAACACAAAUAAACCGCUCUUGACGUGACUGAAUAGGAGUGAGUUGUGAAUUUCUAUUCAAAAUGUGGCAUAAUACGGAUUUAUUAUUUUGCACUCCUGACAUAAAUCACUAAAUAUCUGUCACUGCAACAAUGUUUUAUCAAAAUAUUGGUCAAAUAUCGAAGCUUGAGUCUUUAAACUUUCCAUUGAUGCACAGUUUGUCCAGAUGAAGUAAGACAGUGAUGUUUAAUGUGCUGUGAAAGUGAAACAAUAAUAAACUGGGGCCGUCAGCGAUGUUUGCACGCAAAGGGGUUUUAAUAAGUGUUCAAAGCUGAAUUUUCAGCAUCAGUCUCCAGUGUCACACAAUCCUUCAGAAAUCAUGCUUUGUGAAAACAAGAAUAAAAUUGUACAAAAUAUUCACAUAUAAAGCAGUUAUUUGAAAUUGUACUAAUAUUUCACAACAUUACCAUUUUUAUUUAUGAUCGAAUAAAUGCAGUUUUCUUAGUGUACAUGAGACUUAUUUCAGAAACAUAAAAAAAUCUCUAUCUCCAAGCUACACACUCUCACACCAAAGUGACUGUUAAAAAUCAUUUAAACUUUGUGUCAGUACAUCAUAAAUAGGAAAAGGCAUCAGAUCACCGUCUGUGAUUUGUUGUUUGGUGCCGCAUCCAGUGUAGAGAACAUCAUUGAUUAUAAAAGGCUCUGUUGUAUUUUGUUGUUCUGUCCAGUGACGACACAGUGUUAGAACUCUUGUUAAAUAUCAUUACAUAUGAUGUAUGUAUGAUCCCAUUCAGCACUGAUAGAUCUUUUCUAUUUCAGAGACUGAAAAUCAUUGCUAAAGCACAAGGUUACUGUAACAUAUUUAAACAAAAUUAAUAAGAAUUAAUAAAAAUGCAUCUGUGACUUAAUAUUGCUUCUUAUUCUUCAGUGGAAAGUUAUCAUUAAACACAUAGCUUUCUUCUCAUCUUUGUGCAUUUUCAAACGUUGUGCAUAUUUCUGAAUCAUUUUUUUUUUUUUUACUUCAUAAUAUUGGUUGUCUUCUCUUGUUUCAGAGUUUAGCUCCAACCCCAGUUAAGCAGACCUGAGCAGCUGAUCAAGGAUCAGCAGAAACUCUGCAGAACGGUGCUCCUCCAGCCCAGGACUAGGCACGUCCUGAUUUUGCCAAGUUCGAUGUGUUCCUAGGUCAACAUAUUUUGUUGACCCUGGAACAACAUUUUACUCCAAAAAUAUAUUCUUAACCAUAUCCCUACACCUAAACCUAACCUUAACCAUGAGUAAUCCCUAAAAUCAGAGGAAAUGAUAGAUGAAUGACACUGAUGUACAAGCACCAAACACUGAUUUUAAGCGUAAACUUCACAAAAUCUAAAAACUGGUUCUUCAAAUCUGAUUGGUUAAUCACAAUGUUGUUCCAGGGUCAACAACGAUGUUGUCCCAGGAAUAUGUCUCACUUGGUAAAAUCAGGUUCUGCCAGGACUAGACACCAGUGUUAGUGUCUGUCUCAGAAGCUGAAGAAAAAAGGUCACACCUUAUAGGAAAUAAACGCCUCCUAAGUGUAUGGAAAUACCUGGCUGAGGAGAUCAGUGACAUAAACCAGAUAAAACUGUCAGUGGUCUGAGACAGCUACAAGCCACAAAAACAGUUCAUAGUUCCUGCAUUUCUAUAAUGCAUUAAUGAAUAACAAUAAUUAAAAUAAAAUGUAAUGUCAAGGUUUUGUGUUAAUUCCAGCUAUGUUGAGUAUUCUGUGAAUAAUUUUGAUUUUAGGUGCAUAUUCUUAAUUCUUUGCAAAACAACCUGAACUGUUUGCUAUUGAAAGGUUGGUAUGAAGUUUAAAUAAAUAAAAACAUUAUAUUCUUGACAAAACCUGUGUACAGUUU